UUCUUGGAAUGAUACUACGGAAUCACGCUAGGCUAGCUUUGCACAGGAAUGUCAAGGUUGCAUUUUCAAAACUAUGGAACGGUUGGAAUAGGAGAACCCAUGGGAAUUCGAGUACUUAGCGACGUUCUUUUUCUAGAAGUCCUAGCUUAUUUGCUUCCGCUGUGCAAUGAAGAUACCGGUCCAGUCACGCCAGCUCUGAUUAUUUCGGGGUGUGACAGA